GACUUCUGCAUGAAAGCACUGAAAAUUUGUUGUAUUAUUGUCAUCAUUUCACCUGCACCGAGGAAGCUCUAAAGUGGCAUUUGUUUCUACCCUUCAAAUAUCAACAGAGAUUACCAAGUCUUAUCCUUCCAAAUAAAUCCAAGGAUACAAACAACCUAUCCCAUCCCGUUUCCCUGUCAAGGGAUGAAGAAACCAUCGUGGCUGACUAUGUCUUUCUUUCUUCUUUAAGAGAGAUGUUUAGACCUGCUAGAGAAUAAGGAGGAACAUCCUCCAGAUCUAAGCAUAAUUUUAGGCAUCUGGUUACACCUCUGCCUGUGGCACCCUCUUUGCAAUUUCAAGUGAGACAGUGACUGGUGUCUUCUUGAUUCAUGACUUAAAUAUGCUUCAACAUUCUGUACUAAAUUGGCCAAUUCAGUCGGUCUUUUUCUCCCAAUGGUGACUGAAUUUUAAAAAAAAAUUUUUGAAAUCAAAAAGGAAUAGUUUUUUUUUCUUAAUACUUGUUCCAAAUGUAAACUGCCUUUUAAAAUAGUAGUUAAUCCUUUAUGGCUCUUAUAUGCAAUGCAAGAAUCGUGGUGUGUUUUAGGAUUAGUUAAUGUGGCUUAUGUAAAUGAUUUUAUAGGUCAUGAAAAAAUACAUAAAAUCUAAGUAAAAAGGAUUCUUUUUUUAAUAAAAGACUCAUGUAUUAA